rnacentral:rRNA from 1 species
UACGUAGGGUGCGAGCGUUAAUCGGAAUUACUGGGCGUAAAGCGUGCGCAGGCGGUUUUGUAAGCCAGGGGUGAAAUCCCCGGGCUCAACCUGGGAAUGGCAUUUGGGACUGCAAGGCUGGAGUGCGGCAGAGGAGACUGGAAUUCCUGGUGUAGCAGUGAAAUGCGUAGAUAUCAGGAGGAAUACCGAUGGCGAAGGCAGGUCUCUGGGCUGACACUGACGCUCAUGCACGAAAGCGUGGGGAGCAAACAGG